rnacentral:tRNA from 1 species
AGGAGUUUAGGAUAAUAAUUUAAACCAAAAGCCUUCAAAGCUUUAAAUAGAAGUGAAAAUCUUCUAACCCCUG